rnacentral:lncRNA from 1 species
CGGCGGGCCCGGCACUCAGAGCGGCCUGCUGGCCCCGCCUGCCCUGGGCAGUGAAGGGCUUAGCACCUGGUCCAGCAGCUGCUGUGCUCGAGUUCUCGCGGGGCCUUAGCUGCCUCCCCGCGGGGCAGGGCUUGGGACCUGCAGCCCGCCAUGCCUGAGCUUCCCCCCGCCCCCGCCGUGGGCUCCUGUGCGGCCCGAGCCUCCCCGACGAGCGCCGCCCCCUGCUCCACGAUGCCCAGUCCCAUCGACCACCCAAGGGCUGAGGAGUGCGGGCUCACGGUUACAGGAUUCCCAUUUCAGAACUACGACCAUUUGAAAAAUAGAAGAUUUAAAGAUUGACGCAAAGUGCAUGUACCAUGAUACACCAGGUCUCAUCUCCUGAAUAUUUGUCCUGCCCUGAGUUUUCACCUGAGGCCACCUGUACAACUGACUAGAGUA